rnacentral:rRNA from 1 species
GACGAACGCUGGCGGCGUGCUUAACACAUGCAAGUCGAGCGGUAAGGCCCUUUCGGGGGUACACGAGCGGCGAACGGGUGAGUAACACGUGGGUGACCUGCCCUUAGCUCUGGGAUAAGCCUGGGAAACUGGGUCUAAUACCGGAUAUGACUCCAUGACGCAUGUUGUGGGGUGGAAAGCCUUGUGCGGCUAGGGAUGGGCCCGCGGCCUAUCAGCUUGUUGGUGGGGUGAUGGCCUACCAAGGCGACGACGGGUAGCCGGCCUGAGAGGGCGACCGGCCACACUGGGACUGAGACACGGCCCAGACUCCUACGGGAGGCAGCAGUGGGGAGUAUUGGACAAUGGGCGAAAGCCUGAUCCAGCAAUGCCGCGUGGGUGAAGAAGGUCUUCGGAUUGUAAAGCCCUUUCGGCGGGGGACGAUGAUGACGGUACCCGCAGAAGAAG